AUGGGCCCCCGCGGUGCAUUAGCUAGUUGUAAGGUAAGGCUUACCAGGGCGAUGAUGCAUAGCCCGAGUUGAGAGACUGAUCGGGCCACAUUGGGACUGAGACACGGGCCCAAAACUCUACGGGGAGGCAGCAGUAGGAAUCUUCCAACAAUGGACGCAAGUCUGAUGGAGCAACGCCGCGUGAGUGAAGUAAGGUUUUCGGAUCGUAAAAGCUCUGUUGUUGGUGAAGAAGGAUAGAGGUAGUAACUGGCCUUUAUUUGACGGUAAUCAACCAGAAGUCACGGCUAACUACGUGCCAGCAGCCGCGGUAAU
rnacentral:rRNA from 1 species